CACGUAGUUAGCCGGUGCUUCUUCUUACGGUACCGUCAUCCUCCGAAGGUAUUAGCCUCGAAGUUUUCUUUCCGUCUGAAAGAGCUUUACAACCCGAAGGCCUUCUUCACUCACGCGGCAUGGCUGGAUCAGGCUUUCGCCCAUUGUCCAAAAUUCCCCACUGCUGCCUCCCGUAGGAGUCUGGGCCGUGUCUCAGUCCCAGUGUGGCUGAUCAUCCUCUCAGACCAGCUACGGAUCGUUGCCUUGGUAGGCCUUUACCCCACCAACUAGCUAAUCCGACAUCGGCCGCUCCAAUCGCGCAAGGUCUUGCGAUCCCCUGCUUUCUCCCUCAGGACGUAUGCGGUAUUAGCGUAACUUUCGCUACGUUAUCCCCCACGACUGGGUACGUUCCGAUGCAUUACUCACCCGUUCGCCACUAACCUAGGAGCAAGCCCCUAGAUCCGUUCGACUUGCAUGUGUAAGGCAUGCCGCCAGCGUUCAAUCUGAGCCAGGAUCAAACUCU
rnacentral:rRNA from 1 species